CUGAAAUCUAAGAGAAAAAAAACAACAAAAAAAACAAGAUCAUUAAUCAUUGUUUCCUAUGUCUGAAACAUUUCCUGAUCUGCCUUCUUCCUUGGUGAGGCUCUUAUUUUUCAUGUCCUAACAGUUCUCACUGCCUAGUUUUUCACUUUAAUGAUUCCUUUCCAACAUCCAUUGGUACUUCCUCGAAACCACUCCCUGCUUAAAGGUACGCCUUGUUCCUAUGGAAUCAAGCCCAGCCUCUUGGCGCUGGACAAAAACACCUCCUCCCUCUGGUGCCAAGUGGCCCUCCAGCCAGGCGCUUCUGCCUUCUGGCCAGUCCAGCCUGCCUGGGGGUCCAGUCACAUUUCAUGCCCUUCUGCCUGUGCUCAAGCUUUGUCCUCUGCUCGCAUGUCCCUUCUCCUCAUGGCUUGGCUACUGAAUGCAUGCUUCAAGGUCCACAGUUCUGAUGCCACUCCCCACCACACCCUCCUCCCUCCAAAAUGAAUGGCUUCAUUGCUGUACCCCUAGAUUUGAAUUCAUUUUCCCAUUAUAUCAUUUAUCUUAGGGCAUUUUAACUUGUCUUGUUUAUCUGCCUCUCCUCAGGAACAUAUUUGCCUCUUCUGCCCCUAGAACUGUAAAUGGAACGGGGAAGUUUUGUUCAACAGAUGUUUACUGAAUUCAAGAGUUUUCUGAAUUAUGUCUAAUGAUCUCAAGGAAACCAUAAUUAGUAAAUUUUAUCCCAGGUAAUGGGAAUCUCUAUUACCAUGCUGAGAUAACUGCAUUUUAUAAACUUGUCAAUCAUCUGUAUUUUAACCUAUGCUACAGGUUUCCUAACCUUUCUCUAGAUGAUAUUAGUACCUGGUUGUUAUUAAUAGCAGCACUAAUACUAAAACUUCAUCAGCAAAAUUGCAGUCAUUUUUUUCAUGUGCUACAUGUGUGAUGUCUUUAGCUUGAUAACUUUCAUUGAAAAAGCAUUACUAUACGUAUUUCAAACCACAAACUCUUCCUAUGUACUGGGUGUGUGAGUAAGGAUGUGUUAAGGACUGUUAUAGGUACAAGCAAGUUCCUGGUAUAUGAAAAAGACGUGGAUCCCACCCUCAAGGAGUUUAUGGGAAGACAGAAUGAUAUGCGUGCUAGCACACAAAAUAUCCACGCCUAAUGUUUUAUCAUUUAGAUUUCUGUCAGCUUCUCAAGCAAAAAUACUUGAAGGGUCUUCCUGACCCUAUAUGUUUGUAGAGGUGAACUGCUUUGUUUGCUGCCACAAGUAUCUGAAAUGGAUCGACAAUCUACCAAAGCAAGCAAAAAGAAUUAAUUACACAUGGAGAAUGUGCAGUGCCUGAAAACACAUGAUAACUCAUGGUUAACUCCAGUGUCAAGCUGUUUUACUUCAUCACAAUUCUUAUGGAAGGCCUAGACAUAAAUAUUAAGGAAGAAAAUAAUU